UCAGACGUGAAUACCCGCUGAACUUAAGCAUAUCAGUAAGCGGAGGAAAAGAAACUAACAAGGAUUCCCUUAGUAACGGCGAGUGAAA
rnacentral:rRNA from 2 species